CGCGUAUGGUCCAUUACUCUGGCUGUUUAUUAUCUGCCAGGGUUCCAUCGCUUUAGGAACAUCCAUUCCUAUCAACAUUUCAAUGUCAGCAUCAAUCUCUUCCAUUUGGAUUCCACAGAAGGAUUGGAUCGUGGAGGCAGGUGGCCAAGCUGGGUGUUCCAGCCAAGCUUUCCAGCCCCUCCUGGGGGAUCCCGAGGCGUUUCCAGGCCAGAAUCCUUGAACCAGCCUGUCAGUCUGCCUGCCUGCCCCUCUGCUCACUGCAACAUUCGUCAGUCUCCAGUCUCCUGCCAGUCAAGCUCAGCCUGCCUGCCUACAAACAUCCAUCCCCAAUUAUUUAUAAAUCCUCUAAUAAUUCACCAGCCGUCUCUUAGUAAAUCUUUGGUCUUAAAACAAGAUUUUUCAUACAACUGAGAGACAACUACAAACUGCUCAAGGAAUGCAUUUUUUGGUACAAUUAUUCCCUUUAAUUGAAGCGUUUUUUGUUACG